CACGCGCAUAGGCUAGCUACCGAAAAGACGGACCCCUCCGCCCGUCCUGGCGUUGUGCUUCUUUUAGCGG
rnacentral:sRNA from 1 species